GAAACAUUGGAACGACACUGAUUAAAUUGAAGCAUGGUGUGCGAAUGUCCUGCUACGCUCGAAACUGUUAUCACCCUUCGGGAAGAAACCAGAUGAAAAAGAAAACUUUUGUACGAGCACUGUAACUAUCCAAGCUUCACUCUCGACGGGGACAGAGAAAUACUGGAUGCUGUGCCAUUCAGAGCCAAGAACAUGGUACGGAUGAAAAAGAGACU